rnacentral:rRNA from 1 species
GAUGAACGCUGGCGGCGUGCCUAAUACAUGCAAGUCGAGCGAACGGACGAGAAGCUUGCUUCUCUGAUGUUAGCGGCGGACGGGUGAGUAACACGUGGAUAACCUACCUAUAAGACUGGGAUAACUUCGGGAAACCGGAGCUAAUGCCGGAUAAUAUUUUGAACCGCAUGGUUCAAAAGUGAAAGACGGUCUUGCUGUCACUUAUAGAUGGAUCCGCGCUGCAUUAGCUAGUUGGUAAGGUAACGGCUUACCAAGGCAACGAUGCAUAGCCGACCUGAGAGGGUGAGCGGCCACACUGGAACGGAGACACGGUCCAGACUCCUACGGGAGGCAGCAGUAGGGAAUCUUCCGCAAUGGGCGAAAGCCUGACGGAGCAACGCCGCGUGAGUGAUGAAGGUCUUCGGAUCGUAAAACUCUGUUAUUAGGGAAGAACAUAUGUGUAAGUAACUGUGCACAUCUUGACGGUACCUAAUCAGAAAGCCACGGCUAACUACGUG